rnacentral:lncRNA from 1 species
GCACGCAUUCCAAUCUGCUGAGCCUCGUGGCAGCCGGCCGGGGCGCAGCCUGCGAGCCCUUCACGUGCUGACGGAGCACAGGCAAGAGCCUGAGCGCGGCUGCCCGGGCUGUGCCCACCUCUCACCCCUGCACGGCCCCCAGCCCCGUCUCUCCGCCGUCAGCCUGUUCCCCAGUGCGGCGCGGAGCGGUUGGAAGACGCUGGUGCUUUCAUCGGCAGGAGGAGGUGGCGGGAGAUGCAAGAUAAGGGAGACGGGCAUGAUCUCGGGGGGUGCUCUGCACCUGGUGCCUUGGAGGAUGUGCCCAGAAGGCUAUGGACAUGGUUUACAGGUAAAAGAUACGUUGCUCCACCUACCGACUGCCAGCUCUGCUGUCCCCAUGGGAGCAUAACAUCGCAGGAAAAAUAGUCCUGGCAGGAGAGGAGGAGGCCAUCUAGACAGGAUGCUCAAGACAGGAUCAGCCCUGUCCAUAGUUGUGUGGCCUCCACUCCAAAAAUCUUCCGGUGAUGGAGAAUCCUCAUCUCCUCUAGGCGUCUGUCCCAGUACCUCAGUGUCAGAGAGUUGGUCCUGAUCUCUAACCUGAAUACCUGCAAGCUCUCCUUCAGCACCACCGGCAAUGGGUCUGAAG